GGAAUCUCACCUACAUCUGCUGUCUUUUAUAAAAACUGGACAAUCUAAUGCCUCUUUUGAAUAACCCAAUUGGAAUUGGGUAGUUACCCCAAGUGUGUCCCAGAGUAACAGCAACGGAAUUCAUGUUUACUAAUCCGUCUUUUCCUGUUCCUGUAUUUCUUUUGCCACCUGUCUAAUGUUCAAAAUAAUCAAAUCUUAAGAAAAGUGACUGCAUUUUAGAAGAGUCUGAAACAGGUUGGCAUCUGUUGAGUCAAAGGAGCCAGGAGGUGGAGACUGAGAAGAUUUAGAAGCUCUGAUGAAGUGGAUGGAGAAUGGAACCAACUGAGGUUAUGUAGAAUUGGCUCCUGAGGGCCAGAUAACAUCAGGAAUCACGUGCUGGUGAUGGAGGAGCCAGAUAGGAUGGUAAUUUCCCAUGAAAUCUGAGUGGGAGAAGAUCAGGAGAAGGAAACACUAAAGAUAGAGACAGAAGGCAGAAACUUGAUGGAGCCAGGUCAUGGAGUAGGCAGGAGAUGGGAGCAAAGGUAAAAUACAGGUGGAGUUUGCAACACCAGGGCUCCUUCCGCGUUGGAAAGGGUUGACCAUCAAAAGGAAAUCUAUGCCAUUUACCCAGUGGAGAAAUAAAUCUUCCUUUACUCACUUUUGCCCUGGCUCCUAUGUAAGAAGUCCAAAUGAACCCUGUUUCAUCUUAUUUCAUCUUUGGAAUUCCAGGAUUCUGUUUGGAAUUAUGACUCUGACUGCCUCUGGAACGUGUUGCAUCAGGAAAACUCACCAAGACUCAAACCAAGACAGAGAAGAAAAUGAAUAUGGAAAGAUGAGGAUGUGGCCUAAAUGAGUAAGUGCAACAAAACUAUUUAUCAUUUCAGUUAUAUUUUCUGACAGUCCCUUA
rnacentral:lncRNA from 1 species